UGACUCUCGGAAAUACAUGGUCACCCUGUUCGAAUUCUAAAAGUCUGCGACGCUUGUCCGCGUAACUCUUCUGACGAUCUUGUGAAGUCUUCAUUUUCUCCUUGAUUUUCCUUACCUUAGAUGUAGUCUGUUGCACCAUCUCUGGUCCGACGAUCAUAUUUUCACCGUCCUUAUACCAACACAAGGGCGUUUGACACUUGCGCCCAUAUAAAGUCUCAUCUGGAGCCACUCCAAUACUUGCGUGGAAACUAUUGUUGUAGGUGAACUCAAU
rnacentral:lncRNA from 1 species